GCCACAGGGCGAUGUGCCCGCAGGGACCCUUGCAGAGUGCGUCUGCUCCGUGGCGCAAGGCAGAUAGGCCCAGUCCAACCGCCAUCCUCAUUCUCUUCCUCGUCCGGGAGUUUACAGGCAGCCCAGGUACCCACCGUCCGGAAAUUUGCACCUGCUUGAAUUCUCUCAAGAACUGCUAAACUCCCUGAUGGCACUUCCACAGCGGCACCCCGGCGUUUGCUCCUUUCGGGGAUUCGAGAGACAUCGUAAGAAAGUUCUGCUUUGCUUCUUUUCCCUCAAGGGCGGCACCCCUGGGUGAGUCUGAGUGGGGAGUGGGUAUAACCGAGACAAGACGGUGGUUGUCUUCGGAUAUUUAACCACAAAAUGAGUCUUUUUUUUUUUUUUU